CAGCAGCCACGGUAAUACGUAGGUGGUAAGCGUUGUCCGGAAUUAUUGGGCGUAAAGCGCGCGCAGGUGGUUUAAUAAGUCUGAUGUGAAAGCCCACGGCUCAACCGUGGAGGGUCAUUGGAAACUGUUAAACUUGAGUGCAGGAGAGAAAAGUGGAAUUCCUAGUGUAGCGGUGAAAUGCGUAGAGAUUAGGAGGAACACCAGUGGCGAAGGCGGCUUUUUGGCCUGUAACUGACACUGAGGCGCGAAAGCGUGGGGAGCAAACAGGAUUAGAUACCCGAGUAGUCCCUGUCUCUUAUAC
rnacentral:rRNA from 1 species